GUGGGGAAUAUUGGACAAUGGGCGAAAGCCUGAUCCAGCCAUGCCGCGUGUGUGAAGAAGGUCUUCGGAUUGUAAAGCACUUUAAGUUGGGAGGAAGGGCAGUAAGUUAAUACCUUGCUGUUCUGACGUUACCGACAGAAUAAGCACCGGCUAACUUCGUGCCAGCAGCCGCGGUAAUACGAAGGGUGCAAGCGUUAAUCGGAAUUACUGGGCGUAAAGCGCGCGUAGGUGGUUUUGUAAGUUGGAGGUGAAAUCCCCGGGCUCAACCUGGGAACUGCCUCCAAAACUGCAUGACUAGAGUACGGUAGAGGGUAGUGGAAUUUCCUGUGUAGCGGUGAAAUGCGUAGAUAUAGGAAGGAACACCAGUGGCGAAGGCGACUACCUGGACUGAUACUGACACUGAGGUGCGAAAGCGUGGGGAGCAAACAGGAUUAGAUACCCGUGUAGUCC
rnacentral:rRNA from 1 species